rnacentral:lncRNA from 1 species
GCCAAACACUACGACGGAGAACAUGGAAGUGAAAAUUACGACUUCUGGACUCCGAGAACGAAGAGUCUAAUCAUCUAGAAACAGAAGAUGUAGCUGAAAAGCCCGUAUCUGAUUAUAUGACAUCAGAUAGUGACAAUGGUGAUAAUUCAGAUGGCCCAGGGCCUAGUACAUCAAGAGUUAAUGCAAGUUGUCCUGUCGACCCAUCAGAUUGGAUUGAUAUGAAAGAUUUAGCACCAGAUAUUUUUAAUAACAGACCAAGGCUACUCCCUUUUAAACUAGAACCUGGACCAAUGGUUGAUACUGAUGGCUGGGAGCCUGUGG